AGUGAACGCUGGCGGUAGGCCUAACACAUGCCAGUCGAACGGCAGCACAGUAAGAGCUUGCUCUUACGGGUGGCGAGUGGCGGACGGGUGAGGAAUACAUCGGAAUCUACUUUUUCGUGGGGGAUAACGUAGGGAAACUUACGCUAAUACCGCAUACGACCUACGGGUGAAAGCAGGGGAUCUUCGGACCUUGCGCGAUUGAAUGAGCCGAUGUCGGAUUAGCUAGUUGGCGGGGUAAAGGCCCACCAAGGCGACGAUCCGUAGCUGGCCUGAGAGGAUGAUCAGCCACACUGGAACUGAGACACAGUCCAGACUCCUACGGGAGGCAGCAGUGGGGAAUAUUGGACAAUGGGCGCAAGCCUGAUCCAGCCAUACCGCGUGGGUGAAGAAGGCCUUCGGGUUGUAAAGCCCUUUUGUUGGGAAAGAAAAGCAGCAGGUUAAUACCCCGCUGUUCUGACGGUACCCAAAGAAUAAGCACCGGCUAACUUCGUG
rnacentral:rRNA from 1 species